GUAGUCUCGCACAGAUGCAUAUCAAUAAGCGGAGGAAAAGAAACUAACAAGGAUUCCCCUAGUAACGGCGAGUGAAGCGGGAAGAGCUCAAAUUUGAAAUCUUAAAGGGUUUCCCUUUACGAAUUGUAGUUUAAAGAAGUGUUUUCUGUUGAGGUUUUGGUAAAAGUUCUUUGGAAUAGGACAUCAUAGAGGGUGAGAAUCCCGUAUUUGACCUUUACUUUCAACUUUGUGAUACACUUUCAAAGAGUCGGAUUGUUUGGGAAUGCAGUCCAAAAUGGGUGGUAAAUUUCAUCUAAAGCUAAAUAUUGGCGAGAGACCGAUAGCGAACAAGUACCGUGAGGGAAAGAUGAAAAGAACUUUGAAAAGAGAGUUAAACAGUACGUGAAAUGGUCAAAAGGGAAGCGUUUGACACCAGUGUUGUUUUUCUGAAAAUCAAUUAAAGAACUGUUUAUGCUAAGCUGUUUAGACUUUAUCAGCUAACUGUUUAGUUUUGAGCUUUUCUUUAAUGCACUUUUCAGUUAACAAGUCAACAUCAAUUUCUUUUGCUGUAAAAAAGCUUGAGGAAGGUGGCUUGAGAUUCGUCUUAAGUGUUUAUAGCCUCUUGCCUAUGCAGUCGGAGAGAUUGAGGUCUGCAGCGUAGAUCCUUCGGAGCUAAAUGCAUUUGUGCUAAGUUAUAGCAUUUUAUAGACAACUUGUUGACUAUGAUUUGUCUUGUAGCUUACUCGCUUAUGUUAUUUUACCUACGCUUAGGAUGUUGAAGACUCUACAGAGAUA
rnacentral:rRNA from 1 species